UGUAGCUCAGUGGUGGAGUGCUUGCUUGGAAAGCAAAAGGCCUUGGGUUCAAUCCCUGCCA
rnacentral:tRNA from 1 species